ACACGCGUGGUGUGCGCGGUUCCACCGCAGCCUGCUCUGCCUCCGGCCGCCGGGGCCCCCAGCCAGGUCUCACUGCUCCCAUCCCAACCGAUGGGCCCCGGCUUCACUCUCCUGCGCCGAGCCCCCUUUCUGCCGGGAAGUUCGUCCCAGAGUCUAAUCUCGGUGCCUUCCAGCUGCACCACAGAGGCGGGGUCGGAGUAGGAGGUGGCCCUGAAAUCGGGAAGCUGGGCGCGCCCACUCCCCAACUAGCUGCCCAAAGCCUUCCACCUGCUCCCUUGAGCGACCCCAAGCUGAGAGACCGAACCCCCGUACCCUAGCCUCGCUCACCACCCCCACCCUCUGGCCUGGGCCGCUUUGACCUGAGGCUCCACCUCACACCCCACCAAGAACACUCAGCCAUAGGAUGGAAAUGAGCUGCAGAGAUGAAGUCUCUCUACUGGCUGGGUCAGCAAAGAGACCCCACGGUUCCUUUUCCGCUUAGAGAGAUCUGAAGUCUGGAUGAGUAAAAGAAAGAUGAAACAGGCACAGAUUUAGACUAAGUAUAUAUUUUAAUUUCUACAAGGUCCCCCUUUCAAGUUUUAGGAACAUUUAAAUGAAGUGUAUACAAAUUAGACAUUGCCGAUAUGUACAAAAGUAUUUUCUACAGGUUUUGAACAAUACCAGCUAUAUCAUGUUUCAUUUGCAGUAAACAAGACAUUACAAAAACAGUCCAAUAAUACAUUUUCUAUUAAGAAGCACAAUAUACAACAUAAUUAAAUUUUAUUAAAAAAUAACUUAAAAUACAGAACAAUCCCCUCUAGGCAGAAAAGCUAUUUUUGUAGUUCAUUCAGUAAACACACACUUGAAUGCGGUGGCUGAGGGCUGUUCUUUUCCAUGAAGGAAACAAUUGAGGCUUCUAGGGCCCACCUUUUUGGGAUGAAACUUCCCCAUAGUGGGCAGUUAUUGUCUGGGUUAGGUGGGGUUCUAGAACAGCCUGCCCCCACCCGCACCCCCGCUUCCACCCCCAUCCCAGGACCCUGCACCUAUGCAGCCACUCCUGUGAUUAUGCUGUGUUCUAUGGCAGAGCGGACAUGAAAAUAGGGAGACCUGAUGAGUGGGCUUGAUCUAAUCACAUGAACCUUAAAAAUGAUGAGGAAGCCAGAGGAAUGGGAAGUAUAAUAAGCCACUGAGGGUUUGAAGAUGGAGGGGAACGGUUAAGAAGAGUGCGAGCAGCCUUCAGGAGAUGAGGGAGAAACCUCUGGCUGACAACCAACAAGAAACCAAAUGAACUUGGGAGUAGAUUCUUCCCAAGUCUCCAUAAAGGAAUGCUGCCCUGCUGACGCUUGAUCUCAGCCUCGUGAGAGAGACGCUGAGCAGAGAAUCCAGCCAUACUGUGCCAGACUCACAAGCUACAGAACUGUGAGCUAAGAAAUGGGUGUUGUUCUAAGCUGCUAAGCAUGGGGUAAUUUGUUACAUGGCAAGAGAAAACCAGUAUUGUCCAAGGGUAACUUUUCUUAACCUAGUUAGAUUUGGCAAUUUCUGUUUGAGUUCUGAAUGUAGUUUUUUUUCCCACGGAGUAUUACAGGCAACUUUUGGAAAACCCUUCACAUGAAUCACGUAUUGUUCUGCAUUCACUAGGAAGUAGGUCUAGUUGACUUGGGUCCUUUUUUCCUAAUGUAUUCUUGUCUAUCAACCUGGCGAACAGCUGACCAUUUAACCCUGUUUAUGAACCUUUUAUGGGUGAUGGUUUUAAAAUAUCCAAGGUCACCCCUCCACCCAUCAAGGGCUGUCAGAUCCCUCCAACUGAGGGCUCUUUCCCGCUUCUCAAGUACCCCAAGCAAGGCCUGGGUAGGGUGUGAAUUCCACAUCAAACAUCCAAUAUGAAUUUCUUCUGCAUAACUGGCUUAAACUGGCACUAAGGUGAUUAAGUACACUUGGGG